CCUUACGACCAGGGCUACACACGUGCUACAAUGGCGCAUACAAAGAGAAGCGACCUCGCGAGAGCAAGCGGACCUCAUAAAGUGCGUCGUAGUCCGGAUUGGAGUCUGCAACUCGACUCCAUGAAGUCGGAAUCGCUAGUAAUCGUGGAUCAGAAUGCCACGGUGAAUACGUUCCCGGGCCUUGUACACACCGCCCGUCACACCAUGGGAGUGGGUUGCAAAAGAAGUAGGUAGCUUAACCUUCGGGAGGGCGCU
rnacentral:rRNA from 1 species